CGAAAAGCUCUUUCUAUCCAAAAUGUAAACAGACGCGACACGACUACAUUGCAACGCAACGCGCUACAUUCUAAUUAAAGUAGUAUACCGUGACUGCUCUAACUCAAGGUUGCUUUAACUCUUAUACUGUCAACCUGAAACUGCACUGUACAUAUAAAAUGCACUUGAAACAGUAGUGAAGAAGUGCUGAAAUUUUUCUUUUUUUUCAAUCUUGUUUUUCAGGCACAUUAAUAAUAUGUAAGUAUAAACACUUGAAGAGAUAGAAUGUUACAUAUGAUGCUUUACAAAUCGAUUAGUCUUGAAGACACAACUAUGUGGUUAAAUUUUUAUACUUGUAUACUGAUUUUCAUUCCUAUCUUUUUUAUAAUAUCUUUCAUUUCGCUAACGCUUUUUAGGUAUGAAUUAUCCUGGCGACAAUAAUAAAGAUAUAGUUAUUUAGCUGUUGUUUUAGUGGUUGAUCAAGAGAUAGAAUGAUUCGUUAAUUAAUAUAAAAAGAUUUUAUUCU